rnacentral:misc_RNA from 1 species
GUAGGUGAACCUGCGGAAGGAUCAUUACCGAGAGGGAUAUGCGCCUCGCGGCCACGUCCCGGGGGGUUCCGCCCCCAUCUCUUCAACCCUUGCCUAUCUACCUCUGUUGCUUCGGCGAGCGCUCGGGCGCCAUUGCGCCCGGGCCCCGGCUUCGGUCGGUGCGCUCUCGCCGGAGGCCAUAUUGAUUCUGUCCGUAGUGAUGUCUGAGUGUACCGAUUAAAAUCAAAACUUUCAACAACGGAUCUCUUGGUUCUG